rnacentral:lncRNA from 1 species
CUCCCCCACCCCCGUAUUAUCUUAAAAAUUAGAUUGUUUUCUGCUGGUUGCUUUCUGAAAUUCUACUGGACCUAAUGCCAUUGGAAAUGGAUGGGGAGAAGGCCUGAUGAAAAUUACUGAGGAAGCCUCUUAGCCUAUGUGCUCUGAGAGUAGUGACACCUAGCAGUCGUUAAGACCACUUAAAUUAUCCUAAGACAAUGGAUGUGAACAGGCACUUUUCAAAAGAAGACAUACAUGCAGCCAACAAUCAAAUGAAAAAAAGCUCUACAUUA